rnacentral:misc_RNA from 1 species
AAGACUAUAGACCUGCGGAGUACCUGCGGAGGGAUCAUUACAGGACUCGCAAGACUCCUACAACCCUGUGAACCUACUAUACGAACGUUGCUUCGGCGGGUGCGCCCCGGGGAUUCGUUCCCGCGGCGCGUCAGCCCGCCGGCAGCCUACAAAUUCUGUUUCUUUGCGUUGGCAUCUCGAGAAAAACAAAUAAGUUAAAACUUUCAACAAUGGAUCUCU